GACUAAGAAGGCUGUAGGUUAGCAAUGAUCUUUGUGACCUUUUGACCCAGAAGAAGGUAAGUCAACAAUUAUUGUGGUGACCUUUUGACUAAGAAGGCUGUAGGUUAGCAAUGAUCUUUGUGACCUUUUGACCCAGAAGAAGCACUUACACAAGUGUCGUUUGAAUAUCAAGUUACUACACAUUGAAAAAACUGCUGCGAAGUAAAAGAAAAAUAUGGUUAGAGUCUCGACAAAACAACUUUCAUUGGAAAGACAGCUUGACAAAAAUAACACUUAUUUCUCUUUCCUGUAGAAGUAUUUUUUUCUGUUUCUCUUUUUAUUCGUGCUAUCGUGUAAUCAAGCUUAACUAUUUCUUUCUUUAGAGAUAAACUAAAGCACUGACUAGUAAGGCGGCUGGAGUUUUAAAUUUUAUUUUAUUAAAUAUAAAUGAUACCAGAUGGCACCGUUGCAGUUUUUAAGUGUAUUCUAGAGUGACGAAAGAAAAUGUCAUUAGUACUUUGUGACGAAGAUUUAGAUAAGUUGUUAUGCAGUUAUAACAACUGGACGGUUUAGAAGUUGUGAGUUGAAAUAAAAUUUGUUAAAAGCACGACAAGUACUGCUCCAAGUUAUAAACUACUCUACUCAAGUCUGCGUUUUUAUUUGUUUGAAGUAUUUGCUCAAAGACCACUGUUUGGUUGUACUCCAAGUUGAAAUGCAAGCUUUUGACAUUUAUUUAACACGUUGUAAUAUACUUAAGCAAAUUUAUUCUCUGAUGUAAAUAUAAAAACUUUUAACAUGUAGCAUGAAGAUCAUUAUCAGGGUAUAUUAAGCCCAAAACUAUGUGCCACAAUUGUUAUAUCUGUAUAUUUAACAAUAAAUUGUCAAUUUAAUUAUU